rnacentral:rRNA from 1 species
CAAUAGCGUAUAUUAUUGAUGUGAUAGUGUUUUCAGCACAGAUCAUGCAAACCAACACCAUAUGUUUCAUAUGGUUGUUUGAUUUGCAUCUUACUUUGAGUGAAUCGGCGUGUUCCACGCAGGCAUGUGCCUUGAACGAUUUACCAUAGCAUAAAUAGAGUAUGGAAGUAUUUGUUUGCUUGUUCACGGAUAUUUCUGAUACUGACAAGAACGGUUGAGGGCAUUCGUAUUCAACUGCUAGAGGUGAAAUUCUUUGAUUAGUUGAGGACGAACUAUUGCGAAAGCAUCUGCCAUGGACGUUUCUUUUG